rnacentral:rRNA from 1 species
CCUACGGAGGCUGCAGUGGGGAAUAUUGGACAAUGGGGGCAACCCUGAUCCAGCCAUGCCGCGUGUGUGAAGAAGGCCCUCGGGUUGUAAAGCACUUUCAGUGAGGAAGAACGCCUGGUGGUUAAUACCCAUCAGGAAAGACAUCACUCACAGAAGAAGCACCGGCUAACUCCGUGCCAGCAGCCGCGGUAAUACGGAGGGUGCGAGCGUUAAUCGGAAUUACUGGGCGUAAAGCGCGCGUAGGUGGCUUGAUAAGCCGGUUGUGAAAGCCCCGGGCUCAACCUGGGAACGGCAUCCGGAACUGUCAAGCUAGAGUGCAGGAGAGGAAGGUAGAAUUCCCGGUGUAGCGGUGAAAUGCGUAGAGAUCGGGAGGAAUACCAGUGGCGAAGGCGGCCUUCUGGACUGACACUGACACUGAGGUGCGAAAGCGUGGGUAGCAAACAGGAUUAGAUACCCUGGUAGUC